UAAGUCGCAGCAAGAAAGUAGAAAAACGAGGUAAGAAAGGAGAUAAAAUCAAGGGAUAUGAGGAUAAAAACUUUGUUAACAAGUUUAAAGAAAGAAGAAAUGCGAGUACCUGCAGAAAUCAGUGCCAGUAGUGUUACUAGUAGUAGUUCUAAUGAAGAAGAGAACCCGAAAAGAGAGAGCAACAUCCACGUCCACGCCAAGAAAGAGAUUGAUCUUAUGGAUGAGCUCGACUACUGCACUAAUCUCCAUAACAUCCACGACGAUGAUGAUGCAGAAAACCUCCAAGUUCAAGAGGAGCAGGAUAUCGCGUACGGUCAACUUAUAAACUACUGGGGUUGUUUGAUGCCUCCUGCUUGGGAUGGUUUAGUUAUCAAAGAUGAUGAAGAGGCCGGAGAUAAUGAUAUUAUUGAUGGAAGAGAGAACCAUUCACGUAGCACGCUUGGUGAUAUGCGGUUUACCAUAAAGAAAGAGGCCGAGUGUGGGUUGCUGGAAGAUGAUGACGAUGAUGAUGAUGAUGAUGAUGAUGAUGAGAAAAAGCUUUCUUUGAAUCUGAGCUUAAACUAUCAAGAGGUUUUGGAUGCAUGGUCCGACCGCACACUUUGCGCUGAUGAAUCUUCUUCAAUCUUUGUUUCUGCAAAUAAUGCCUAUGUUAGAAUUCAUUCAUCAUGUUGGAAGCGUAGAUGGGAGAGGUGCCGGUGAUAGAAGAAGAGAGGAGAAGAAGGGAAGCAAGUGUGCUGAGGUACAAAGAAAAACGCCAAACCAGAUUGUUCUCCAAGAAGAUAAGAUAUCAAGUUCGGAAGCUGAAUGCAGAUAAAAGACCAAGAUUCAAGGGCCGUUUUGUGAAAAGGGUAGCCGAGGAGAUGCACAAAUGAUUGCAGAAAAAAAAAAUCCUCAAAAUAUCUUACCUAACUCAACUCCUGUCUGUAAGUACUUUUAUAUUUGACCGAUUCCUUCGAUUUGAUCUAUCAAUGUCUUUCAAUUACAAGUAGUACAUCUCUUUUCUUUUGGCAGGGGGCACGUCUACUGUGCUGUACUAUAGAGAAGUCUAGCACCUGCUGAGUUUACGUCCCAGAAUGCAAAGAUUGAGGCAUGUCAAACUUUUAUCAGCUCAUGAGUCGUUUUCUCAAUUGGGACCUUAAAGUUACCUCUGGAACAGGGAAAAAGAAGAAGAAGAGGAUGAUACUGAGGUCUAUCCUGUUUGAAUUACAAUUUUCUGAAGUUUUUGUAUAAAAUGUACUGUAGCCCUUUUUACACUUCA